AAUUUCACAUUUUUUAAUGUCAUAUACAGAUCUGGAGAAGUCUGUCAUAAAUCGUUUGCCAAAGCUCUUAUUUUGGAAUGUGACU
rnacentral:tRNA from 2 species